GGCUGAAGGGCUGGUUAAUGAAGACACCCCGAAACUAUCGUUAAUGGAGCCCUAAGCCCAGGGUCAGAACUGCAAAGGCAGCUUCCCUUGAACUCCACAGAGUUAACCUCAGAGGCACUUAUUAAACCUGAGCGACAUGCAAACUGGAUGUCUGCAAAGUCUGGCCCAACACCAACAGUGUUUCUAGGCUUUUUUGAGGGUGCCGUGUCUCAGAGAUGGGACCAAACGGAAAGAGGGAUAUUUUGGACAAGAGUGGGAGGUGAAAGGAAAGGCCACUACUGUUCCAAGCAUCAGGUCUUUCUAAGCACCAUCUGGUCUUCCCCGGCUUAAUCUUUCACUAAACAUGCCAGCCAGAUGGUCACAAGCCCAGAUCUGUAUUUUAUAGCACAGGUCCAGACUGCUUGAUUACGAUGUGGAGCACAUGCUCUUUCCCUACAUGCUUCCAGGGACAAGGAACUCUCUCAAAUGAAGUCUUCAAACCACUGGGAAUCGGCAGCAACAACAAUGGUUGUUUCCUCUCUCAGGGACAUGCAAAGAUCUCUGGAGCUCACCUUUCAGCCAAGUGCCUAUGGUAUCUCCACCAAUAUUGGGAAGGGCCUUUAAUUUCUUCCUCCCACCCCUCUUCACUGAAGAUGCACCUCUCA